AAGUCGUACCAGGUUUCUGUAGGUGAACCUGCGGAAGGAUCAUUAUGGUACUACAGAGGCAUGAAGGUUGUCGCUGACCUUUCUGAAUGGUUGUGCACGCCGGAGUGCUCUCACACAAUCCACCUCACCACUUGUGCUUCACCGCGCAGGGUCGCUCCCUCUUCGAGAGGGGGAGGCUUGCGUCUCUUUCACACACACACAAUAUACAGUCUGGUAGUUUAGGAUGUCAAUCAAUACAACUUUCAACAAUGGAUCUCUUGGCUCUCGCAUCGAUGAAGAACGCAGCGAAAUGCGAUACGUAAUGUGAAUWGCAGAAUUCAGUGAAUCAUCCGAAUCUUUGAACGCACCUUGCACCCCUUGGUAUUCCGAGGGGUACACCCGUUUGAGUGUCGUGAAUUUCUCAAACCUUCUUGGUUUCUCGAUCAAGAAGGCUUUGGACUUUGGAGGUCUUUGCCGGCUUUGUGAAAAGUCGGCUCCUCUUAAAUGCAUUAGUGGGGUCCCCUUUGCCGAUCUCUAGGCGUGUGGAUAAUACACUUCUACCCCCUUGGGGAAUUUGCCUCUGUUGCCCUGGGGAAACCUGCUUCUAACUGUCUCCAUCGGAGACAUCGUUCGAGCUUGCUCGACACACGAACCCUGACCUCAAAUCGGGUGAGACUACCCGCUGAACUUAAGCAUAUCAAUAA
rnacentral:sRNA from 1 species